UCUUUUUUUAUCAUCGACAGGCUACCUGGAUCAAGUCAACGCCGUUGCUCGAGCGGCUGGCGACGGCGCGGCUGCUCGAUGAAUGCGGCGGUGGCGGCUGGAGCUUGCAGGGGCCGGAUCUGUGCGUGGAAGGGGCUGGGGAGGCGGAUCCAGAGGUGGGCGGCGAGGCGGUAGCUCAUCGGAGCCGGGCGAUGAAGGGAUCCAGCGCAAUGGCACGAAGUCCUUGCAGGCGGAGGCUGGUCUUCAUGGCUGGUAGGCAGAGCUCUGCAGGUAUUGCUCCUCGCCCCUCUUUCCAGCAUCUUUCCUCUCUCUCUCUCUCUCUAGAGUGAUGAGCGCCGACGACGGGGAACGGGUAGUGCCUAGGGUGGAGCUUGGCGAGUGCGGAUGGGGGCAACGCGGACGUCGAGCACCCGCACAGGCUUGCUGGAGAGCGUACAACAUGGUAGGAAGAUUGUGUGGGAGGACAAUCGGCAGGGAGGCAGGAGAAUGAGCAGCGAGUGGUGCUGGCGGAUCUCCGCCCUAACCUGGGUUGAGCAGCUGCACGGGGACAGACACAUGCAGCCGUUCGAGCUCUGGUGAGGGGGUGGCGGGGCCAUGUCGUGUGCCAGGCAAGGUUGAGGACGGCUGGGAGGUCUUCACCAGCGGCAGCUGGUGAUGGAGUGGCGAGGCCAAUCUGGCCCUCUCUGUUUUGUUUCCCUGCAACCAGCACAGAGAAGCAGAAAGUUGCUGCUCUUAUGUCAUAUGACCUAACCAAUCUCUCUCUCUCUGUUCUCUUGAACUAGCACUAAGGAGCUGACGCUGUUGGUAGCACUGAGAACGGAGGGAACAUCAAGUCAUUCUCCUAGAAAACCAGAUGUAUAACCAUUUUUUGCUAUUCAGAUGGUGUCCACGGUGGCCAACUACGGCUGGCUUGUGUGCUCUUUUUGUUAAAAUAAAUCCAUUCUUCAGUCCAUGCUAUUUUACGAGACCAUUUUUUGCUAUUCGGAUGGUGUCCACGGUGGCCAACUACAGCUGGCUUGUGUGCUCUUUUUGUUAAAAUAAAAUCCAUUCUUCAGUCCAUGCUAUUGUACGAGUUUGAUGCGGUAGGUUGAAAAAUUAUUGGAUUUCGUUUGGUUCCUUGAGACUGAGAGGCAAUAAUUUUGUUUGAUUAAUUUUGUUGAAGCUAUGAACACAUAUAUGGCUAAUCCCUAUUUGUUGUUUGUUGUUAUGCAAGCAAAGGAUUUCGUCCGGUAAAACACCCAGCAACAGGAGUUUCUAUAAUGUUGAUUGAUUCAGAAACCCAAACAGUAUGGGUGUAGUUCUUGCAAUUAGAAUUUUAGAAUUACUAAUAACCUUUUGUUCCAGUAUAAUUAUUUUUGUUGGGAACUUCUUCAAGAUGCUCUGCAUCCUCUGUGUGUAAUGCACUUUGUUAUUGGCGAUGACUUGUGGAUGGAUUAUGCCAGUUGAAUAAACAACAUCUUCGCAUAAACUAACAUUGGCAACAUCCAGAAAUUGAGAAAGCUUCUUCUCUGUUAACAAAAUUGUCUACUCAGGACUGGAAUUGGCGUAGGAUUUUCAGGUGGCUCUGUGAAGUAGCAGGUCUAGCUCACUUGGCCUUAUCCUUUUAAAGAUUGCUGCGUUUCUCGUUGUCCAAAUGCUCCAGCAGCCAAGGGUGAUCUACUCCAUGUAAAAUGGUUUCUGCAAAGAGCCCUUCAGAGCAAUAAUCUAUUUAUUGGCAGAAGACAAAUUGGUUUGAUCAAAGGCAGGGAAUAAAUAUUCAGAAGACAAAUUGCAGAUGACAACCUAGCUCAUCAACUCCACUAUGGCUUACAUUAGCAAGGUCUGGUAGCAAGCCAACUACACGCUAUUGUAAUUGGGGUGUAGAAGAUGGAGGGGAAUGGUCACCGUUGACACAAGUGCAUUGAGUGGUUGGCAUCCUAAGUAAUGGGUGUCAACGGCUAAUCUACCAUAUCUGGUGAGUAUAUUGUAUGUGCUGUCCUAACAUAUACACAUGUCUAUUUUGAACACUUGCAUUUUUGGCUGCUAUUAUUCAACUGAUGAUGAUGCUGCAACAUGCACUAAUUCUCUAUUUUGGCUUCACUUUCACUGAAUUAUUCAAAACUGUGCACUGGUUUUUUUAAUCUACAUAGCUAAUUCUUUUCAUCUCACAAACUGCACAUAUGAGCUUAUGAAUAUGAAAAAAUGACUCCUAAGACGUGAAACCAUAGUUAUGGGAAGCCAGAUAAGCCAGAAUCCCUACAUUUUUCUUAUUUAGUGUUUUUCUUCAAGAUUUUCAGUGAACUUAGGAGCUCUGAAUAUAAGAACCAAGUAUCACUACUGAAAUGACACAUAUAAAAAUUGUCAACCAUGUAUUGAGAAAGCUAGAAAAUGAAGUAUGAAAAGUGUAAUUCUGUUAGAACUCCUAAAACCUUGUCUUCAAUGUGUGCGAUUGUAGCCUCUUUGCGAUUUUGGUUCACUUACACAGGAAAUACUAUUAGGAGCACACUAUGAUAAAUACAAGUAAAGUUUAUCAUCGGUAAAUGAAUAUGAAUCAAAUUUCGUUUUCUUAUGUUUACUAUAGAGGAACUGAUCAUUCAUGAUCACUAUAAGGAUAAAUUGGUGGGUUUACUUCAUCCAGCAGCAUAUACAAAUCUAUUUGUUGUGUUUUUGGUUACUGGUAUUACUGUUUUGAAGGGUAUAAAUAGCUAAAUAAUUUUAAUUAUGUUUUUAGUCUCAGUAUACAGUCAAACAGAAGAUGCGGUAAUUUUGUAGAAGGAAUGCAGCCCUUGGUCUAAUAGUGAUUUAUGUUUUUUAUGUGACAUGGAGCGAUUUGUGACUUUGAAGCACAUGUGAAUCUUGUGAUCUGCAAAAUUUUUGUUACAUCCUCAUGGUUUUGCUACACCGCUCUAAUCUGCAACCUACAAAAUUGCUAUCUCCCUAACACAUAAUGCUGGUUGUUAACUCGGAACAUAAUAUCACUAGAGCUCUACAUAUGCAUGUUCUUUUAAAUGGAAAAUUACUAUAAGUUUGUUUCUGGCUAAUACAAUGUAUUGAAAGCAAUAGUGUGAGAGAAACCAAGCAUGUUCUGUUAGGGAAGAAAAUAUUCUUUAUUUUCUUUAAUUCAAUUAAUAGACGAGUGCGUUUACCAAAAACUAUACUAUUACUUCUUCUAGUUGAAGGAUUUGCAUGCUUAGUAACACAUGAAAUGCUUAAUGUGAGCUCGAUAUUGAUGAUUUAAGUUUAUUAGUUGUUACUGCCGCCCGAUAUUGAUGAUUUCAGUAACACAUGUUCAGAGUAAUAGUGAGCUCGAGCGUGUGUCUCGUGGAAAGUCAGGCAGGUGUUACCAUUGCCCAGAGCUCAAAUUGGCAAGCCUCUCCAAUUUGGACCUCCUCAUCGCCUUCCAUGCCAUUGUCGACGCAUACACAUACGCGCUCGAGAAGACCUAGCGCCGCGACAAUGAUGACCCAUCCCCUAGCUAUAGAUGACGGCCGCGGCGUAGAUCCCUUGGCUGGGUUCGAGAGUCGUUGCCCGUCCGAUGGCUAUCGCAUGACAUCCGAGGAUUGCUCCAUCGUGUGUUGGCUGCUCAACAGGAUCCACGUCACCUUCCAGGAGCGCGACGUGUCCACCCACACGCCCUACUGGGACAAGCUCCGCGUGCUGCUGCCGGAACAAAUGGCUCCAUGUCACUGUCACAGCGGCUGUUCGCGGAUGCCAAAGCAUGUUGAUCAGGUGGGGCAUUACUAUUAUCGAGAAGUAGUGAUCUGCAGGACACAAUCAUGUGAAAUUCAGAAGAUUUGAUUGCUCUG